AUAAAACCUGCAAGAUUCACUUACAUCCUCUGAAUGCAACUCA
rnacentral:tRNA from 1 species